AACGAACGCUGGCGGCAGGCCUAACACAUGCAAGUCGAACGGGACCUUCGGGUCUAGUGGCGGACGGGUGAGUAACGCGUGGGAACGUGCCCUUUGGUUCGGAAUAGCCUCGGGAAACUGGGAGUAAUACCGGAUACGGUCGAGAGACGAAAGAUUUAUCGCCGAAGGAUCGGCCCGCGUUGGAUUAGGUAGUUGGUGGGGUAAAGGCCUACCAAGCCGACGAUCCAUAGCUGGUUUGAGAGGAUGAUCAGCCACACUGGGACUGAGACACGGCCCAGACUCCUACGGGAGGCAGCAGUGGGGAAUAUUGGACAAUGGGCGAAAGCCUGAUCCAGCAAUGCCGCGUGAGUGAUGAAGGCCUUAGGGUUGUAAAGCUCUUUUACCCGGGAUGAUAAUGACAGUACCGGGAGAAUAAGCUCCGGCUAACUCCGUGCCAGCAGCCGCGGUAAAGUGACUACUG
rnacentral:rRNA from 1 species